GAGGGGUGCAAGCGUUAUUCGGAAUCAUUGGGGCGUAAAGAGUGUGUAGACGGCGCAUUAAGUCAACUGUUAAAUUCUCCGGCCUAACUGGGAGGGUCUGCGGUAGAAACUGGUGUGCUAGAGGACGGAAGAGAGAAGUGGAAUUCUCGGAGUAGCGGUAAAAUGCGUAGAUCUCGAGAGGAACACCGAUGGCGAAGGCAGCUUCUUGGUCCAUUCCUGACGUUGAGACACGAAAGCGUGGGGAGCAAACAGGAUUAGAUACCCUGGUAGUCCACGCCGUAAACGAUGAUCACUAGACGUCAGCUCUGUUUUGCAGAAUUGGUGUCGCAGCUAACGCGUUAAGUGAUCCGCCUGGGGAGUACGAUCGCAAGAUUA
rnacentral:rRNA from 1 species